GACGAACGCUGGCGGCGUGCUUAACACAUGCAGGUCGAACGGAAAGGCCCUGCUUUUGUGGGGUGCUCGAGUGGCGAACGGGUGAGUAACACGUGAGUAACCUGCCCUUGACUUUGGGAUAACUUCAGGAAACUGGGGCUAAUACCGGAUAGGAGCUCCUGCUGCAUGGUGGGGGUUGGAAAGUUUCGGCGGUUGGGGAUGGACUCGCGGCUUAUCAGCUUGUUGGUGGGGUAGUGGCUUACCAAGGCUUUGACGGGUAGCCGGCCUGAGAGGGUGACCGGCCACAUUGGGACUGAGAUACGGCCCAGACUCCUACGGGAGGCAGCAGUGGGGAAUAUUGCACAAUGGGCGGAAGCCUGAUGCAGCAACGCCGCGUGCGGGAUGACGGCCUUCGGGUUGUAAACCGCUUCCGCCUGUGACGAAGCGUGAGUGACGGUAAUGGGUAAAGAAGCACCGGCUAACUACGUG
rnacentral:rRNA from 1 species